rfam:Myotis lucifugus cont2.26828, whole genome shotgun sequence.
GCCCAUGUUGUUCAAUGGUUAGAAUAUCAGUCUGUGCACCCAAGGAUUGCGGGUUUGAUUCCCUGUCAAGGGCA